AAUUAUCGGAGUUUGACGUCUUCUGCGGUACUGUACCGCUUCGCGCGGGAAAAACAGUCGGUAGUCGAGUGUUUGGUGACGAUUUUCUGUUCGGAGGAAAGAAAAAACGAUGAUGAGUUCACCUGGACGGAAGAAAGGAAAUGGAUAAAUGAUAUUACAAGUUCUCAGAGGGCCAUUUGCUUUUUAAAGGUUUAUCAGCUGACAACUGCCAUAUGGUGGAUAUUGUUUGUCUUUACUAAGGAUGCACUGAUUAAUUGAAAUUUUUUCAAUAUCAAGAAUAUCCAAUGAAGAUAUUAAUUGAUAUGCUGAUAAAAUUAAAAUAUCUUUAGAAAUCAGCACAGAGACUACCACUGCUGUGACUUUAAUGGUAAGUGAAGUCUAUUUGAAAUUUUAAUUGAUGUACAACAUUUGUCCUGAAAAUAUUUUUGUUAGAACAUAAAUGUCCUCAGUACAAGACAGAUGUAUAAAUCUGAUACUGUCCAAUGUUCUUAGCACAGAACACAUUUUGUUAAGUAAUGCGAAACAACAUAAUAUGAAGUAACUAUUUCUUGGCUGCAUGGUCAAUUAUUAUUUUCACGUUGCAUGUCAAUUUGAUUAAUUUGCACAAUCCUGUUUCUUAUUUAAAGUGAAUUAUUUUAACAAAGAGACAUGCUCUAAUUGAAUUUUUUUUUUCACCUUUGGUGAGGGAAG